rnacentral:rRNA from 2 species
CCCGGUUACUAUAGCGGAGGGGCAACACCUCUUCCCAUUCCGAACAGAGAAGUUAAGCCCUCCAGCGCCGAUGGUACUGCUUGGGAGACCUUGCGGGAGAGUAGGACGUAGCCGGGA